UUGAUCCUGGCUCAGAACGAACGCUGGCGGCGUGCUUAACACAUGCAAGUCGGAUGCGAACGGCGCUUUCGGGCGUUGAGUAGCAUGGCAGACGGGUGAGGAGCGCGUAUCUGACUGGACUCAGGCUGGGGGAUAGUCCCUCGAAAGGGGGUUGAAUACCGCAUGUGCUCGGUGCUGUGAGGGCAUCGAGGAAAGUUGGCCUCUGCGGGCACGCUGAUGGCCUGAGACAGGGAUGCGUCCUAUUAGCUAGCUGGUGGGGUAAGGGCCUACCAGGGCGACGAUGGGUAGCUGGUCUGAGAGGAUGAUCAGCCACACUGGGACUGCGACACGGCCCAGACUCCUACGGGAGGCAGCAGUGGGGAAUUUUGCGCAAUGGGCGCAAGCCUGACGCAGCAACGCCGCGUGCAUGACGACGCCUUUCGAGGUGUAAAGUGCUGUCGACCGGGACGAAGGGGCGAGGGUGAACAGCUUUCGCGCAUGACGGUACCGGUGGAGGAAGCCCCGGCUAACUCCGUGCCAGCAGCCGCGGUAAGACGGAGGGGGCGAGCGUUGUUCGGAAUUACUGGGCGUAAAGCGCGCGUAGGCGGUGAAGCAAGUGGUGCGUGAAAGCCCUCGGNUUAACCGGGGACGGGCG
rnacentral:rRNA from 1 species